GGUUGUAUAGUCUAAUGGUCAGGACGUGGGAUUCUGAUUCCCGAAGUCCCGGUUCGAUCCCGGGUACGACCU
rnacentral:tRNA from 1 species